AUUGAACGCUAGCGGGAUGCUUAACACAUGCAAGUCGAACGGAGCGGCGGACGGGUGAGUAAUAUAUCGGAACCUGCCCAGUAGCGGGGGAUAACUACUCGAAAGAGUGGCUAAUACCGCAUACUAUCGGAUCGACCGAUAGCGGAUUAGCUAGUUGGUGGGGUAAAGGCUCACCAAGGCGACGAUCCGUAGCUGGUUUGAGAGGACGAACAGCCACACUGGGACUGAGACACGGCCCAGACUCCGACGGAAGGCAGCAGUGGGGAAUAUUUGACAAUGGGCGCAAGCCUGAUCCAGCCAUGCCGCGUGUAUGAAGAGGGCCUUCGGGUUGUAAAGUACUUUGGGCUGGGAGGCGUUACCUGCAGAAGAAGCACCGGCUAACUCCGUGCCAGCAGCCGCGGUAAUUC
rnacentral:rRNA from 1 species